UACGUAGGUGGCAAACGUUGUCCGGAUUCACUGGGCGUAAAGCGCGCGCAGGCGGAUUGGUAAGUCGAUUAGGUGAAAUCUCCAGGCUCAACUUGGAGAGGCCCUGCGAUACUGCCAAUCUAGAGGCAUCUAGAGGAGAGUGGAAUUAACAGUGGAGGGGUGGAAUCCGUAGAUAUUGUUAGGAACACCAGUGGCGAAAGCGGCUCUCUGGGGAUGUACUGACGCUGAGGCGCGAAAGCGUGGGGAGCGA
rnacentral:rRNA from 1 species